rnacentral:rRNA from 1 species
UACGAAGGGGGCUAGCGUUGUUCGGAUUUACUGGGCGUAAAGCGCACGUAGGCGGAUCGAUCAGUCAGGGGUGAAAUCCCAGAGCUCAACUCUGGAACUGCCUUUGAUACUGUCGAUCUGGAGUACGAAAGAGGGUCGCGGAAUUCCCGGUGUAGAGGUGAAAUUCGUAGAUAUCGGGAGGAACACCGGUGGCGAAGGCGGCGACCUGGGUCGAUACUGACGCUGGAGCGCGAAAGCGUGGGGAGCAAACAGG